UGUUAUAUAAAACCAUGCUUGCCAUGACUUUAUUAGUUAAAUCUAAUAAGCAUUUUCUCUAAUUCUCCACAGAUCUCUCAGGCUGGGUGUGGGACACACGCUGUCUUAUUCGUGUGUCUCGUGCUGGGCUGACUGAGCCUCAGGUUUUGGCUUUGCUGGAAGAUCUAUGCUACUGUGGUAAUUUGAGAGUCUAGGUUUUGGAAUUGGCCUGACUACGCUCUGCUUUUUGGCCUUGGGUUCAGAAGAAAACCAAUGGUCUUCUGACCAUCACGCAUCAAUCACUCAGCCAGGCUUUUAACCUGUUGUUGCACGGUACAGAGGGUUACAUCUACCGUUGGAUCCUUGCUAAGGUUUUCAGAAGUCCAGUUUAGAGCUUUGUAGCUGGGCAAGAAAAAUAGAAGAAAUUCCUUGGCAUCUCAAGCAAACUGGUUCAUUUAAGGAGUUGCAUGAUUUCCUCAGUGAUCCGGCUCAAUAAUGGAAUAAUUCCUACAUUUUUUCCUACAUUAAUUCCUACAGUUUUUGUCAAGCA
rnacentral:lncRNA from 1 species